GCUAGUGUAGCUUAACGCAAAGCAUAACACUGAAGAUGUUAAGAUGGACCCUACAAAGUUCCACAGGCA
rnacentral:tRNA from 1 species